CACAGGAGUGAUGUUUGCUGAGAAUGGGCCUCCACGCCACGCCACUCCGCCAACCGCCAGGAUGCCCGGCAUCAGAACAUUCCAGGCAUUCCCGUGAUGGGCAGAUAGCAGGUUGAUUGGCAUGUCGGACUCCGCGAACACUGGGUACUGAUUACCUCCGACAUAUGGACAAACUCAGCGGACAACAGUGUUGUUCCCCAGCCUAGAGUUGAGGACGCUGUCCCUUCCCACUGACCUCCACUAGGUCUCCUCUGGUCCUGGCCUGCUCAGUGAUGUCAUCCCCCGGGCCCUUGGCUGCACCAGUCUGGGUCUGGGAAUCCAAUAUGGUCACCCAGUCUCCUCUUUUAGCUUCCAGCCAACCACCUGCAGGAAGAGGUUGCAAAAUAGACUUUACAUAUGUUUUUUUUUUGUCAAUUACCUGGUCAAGUACACACAUUAUAAUGUGUGUUUUUGUAUGUAUA